AAGUCGUAACAAGGUUUCCGUAGGUGAACCUGCGGAAGGAUCAUUACCAAUAUUCCAAAUAUCCAAACCCAUGUGCACGAUGAAACUGUCUUGGUUUUUGGGGUGGGCUUUCACAAGUUCACCCCAGCCAAUUUUUACAAAACUACUUUUCAAUUGUCAUGGAAUUAUUACUUGUUAUUAAUAAAUAUAAUGACAACUUUUAACGGUAGAUCUCUUGGCUCGUGGAUCG
rnacentral:misc_RNA from 1 species